UAGGGAAUCUUCCGCAAUGGACGCAAGUCUGACGGAGCAACGCCGCGUGAGUGAAGAAGGAUUUCGGUUCGUAAAACUCUGUUGUUAGAGAAGAACAGCGCAUAGAGUAACUGUUAUGCGUGUGACGGUAUCUAACCAGAAAGCCACGGCUAACUACGUGCCAGCAGCCGCGGUAAUACGUAGGUGGCAAGCGUUGUCCGGAUUUAUUGGGCGUAAAGCGCGCGUAGGCGGUUUUUUAAGUCUGAUGUGAAAGCCCACGGCUCAACCGUAGAGGGUCAUUGGAAACUGGAAAACUUGAGUGCAGAAGAGGAAAGUGGAAUUCCAUGUGUAGCGGUGAAAUGCGCAGAGAUAUGGAGGACCACCAGUGGCGAAGGCGACUUUCUGGUCUGUAACUGACGCUGAUGUGCGAAAGCGUGGGGAUCAAACAGG
rnacentral:rRNA from 1 species